rnacentral:lncRNA from 1 species
GGGCAUUGCACAAGAUCCCGGGCCCUAUGCAUAGGCAGUCCUGAUGGGCCCCCAUGAAAAUGUCCAGAGGAUGUCUCCAGUCACACUGAGGAUUGAGGCUCUGUACACAGGCAUCUUCUCCAUCUCCAUGAUCAUGUGUGCACGCCUCAGCACACGGGCACGAAGGAAGGGGAGUCGAGGGGGCAGGAGGAGGGGUGUAAGUACCAGCAGCUUUGACAAAGGACAGGAUGCUCUUCUGAGACGAUGCAGAUCCAGCUGUGUGGGCUUCGUACAGGAGAGUCUGGUACAGGUCAUGAUGCUCCACAUACCACUCAUCAUGUCCCUGCUGCAGCAGUCUCUGGACUUUGUUCAUGGACACACUGUUGACCCUGUCAUUCAGAAGAGUAACCAUGCCUUUGUCAAUGGCACGCUUCCCACAUAGAAUGGCAGGAAACAUGCUUUUGAUGGCAGGGGCCAAGUUCAUCAGAAUCUUGGGAUUGUGUGCCAGCCAAAUGUACUGCUGAACAUGAUGACUGUCCUCAUCUUCAUUGUCUGCGUCACUAUGUGUCUUACUGCCCGCCUCAUCUUUUCACAAUGUGAACACUUCAGCUUCUCCAUCAACAGGGUGUAAUUGUACUUCAUCCCACACACUUGCCUGGCAUAACUACCAAAGCCUUUCUUCUCAAGGUAUUCACCUGGUGGUGCAGGGCAGUUGGAGCUAGGGCAGUGGAUCUUGGCUUGCAUCACACCAACUGGGCACCAGAAGAAGACAGGGGUUGUGAAAAAGGCCAUCAUGUUGGGCAGUCCUCCCUUGACAGAAGUAGGAAUUGGGGGUGGGUGGAACUCCAUCUUCUCCUUUAAAAGCCUUCUCUCCACAAUCUCUCCUUUGGCAUUCUUGUACUUGAAAGGCCUCUCAAACAGACCAUACAUCUCAUCACAUUUCAGCCACUUGAUGUUAGGAGGAGCUAUACCAUUGGCUUGUGUAGAUGGAGGUGGAUGCUCCCAGUAUUUCUGCCAGCCCUCCAGCAAGAUGUUACUGGUUUCUGAGGCAGAGGUGUCUACAGGGGAAGAAGGUCUUCCCUGAGAUGUGCUGAGGCUCAGGGAAAAAUCCUGACUCACAGCCAGUAUGAGCUCUCCCCAGGUGGUCAGCUGUGUGGAGACCACUACCUCAGACUCUUCAAGGACAGUCUCUGUAGAAAAAAUCAGACAAAAUGUAUUGAGCACAUUGCUUAAGAUGUGAAUAUAAUGACAAGCAUAAGCAUAAUCAAAAUAAACAAAGUUUGUUUCUAUUUUCCAUGUUAUCAGAUCUUAUUUUAGAGAACACAAAGGAUAUUUGAUACAAACAUUUUAGUACAGAGCUGCUACAAAAAAUAUAGGCAAUAGUUUAAAAAAUAUUGUAAUAUAAUAAAAAAUCCAACAUAUCACAUCUACAAAUUAAACAGAUUUUUUUAUGUGUUAUCUAAAUGCCAACAAAGCAUUUAGACAUUAAAUCUGUUACACUGAAAAAGGGCAGCUAGCUUGAUAAUAUUCCUCACCCUGCUGAAAAUUAAAGUGAAAUACUAAACCUACUGUCAUCAUUAUCAGUGCCAGAAAAUGUGUGAUAUUUCGGCAGUGUAUUUAGUCAGAUGUUUGAAAUACAUCAGUAAGAAAAUGUUAUAUGAAUUUUAAAAUAGAGUUAUGGCAUGUUAAAUGUUAAUUACCAGCAGCUGCCAACAAUUCAGCAUCACUGGCAUAGUCAGGAUCCUGCUGGAACUUAGAAAGGGUAGAUUCAGCCUUCUUUCCUUUGUCUUUCCUUGACUCCUGUUCAUGCAGAAAAUAAGAAAUUGUAGA